GACGAACGCUGGCGGCGUGCCUAAUACAUGCAAGUCGAGCGGACUAAUGGGAGCUUGCUCCCGUUAGUUAGCGGCGGACGGGUGAGUAACACGUGGGCAACCUACCUGUAAGACUGGGAUAACUUCGGGAAACCGGAGCUAAUACCGGAUGACAUAAAGGAACUCCUGUUCCUUUAUUGAAAGAUGGCUUCGGCUAUCACUUACAGAUGGGCCCGCGGCGCAUUAGCUAGUUGGUGAGGUAACGGCUCACCAAGGCGACGAUGCGUAGCCGACCUGAGAGGGUGAUCGGCCACACUGGGACUGAGACGCGGCCCAGACUCCUACGGGAGGCAGCAGUAGGGAAUCUUCCGCAAUGGACGAAAGUCUGACGGAGCAACGCCGCGUGAGCGAUGGAGGCCUUCGGGUCGUAAAGCUCUGUUGUUAGGGAAGAAUAAGUGCUAGUUGAAUAAGCUGGCACCUUGACGGUACCUAACCAGAAAGCCACGGCUAACUACGUGCCAGCAGCCGCCGUAAAAC
rnacentral:rRNA from 1 species